rnacentral:lncRNA from 1 species
GGUUUUUUGAGAAAUCUGUAUACUUUUUUUCAUAAUGGCUGUACUAAUUUACAUUCCCACCAACAAUAUACAAUAAUUUUCUUUUCUUCACAUGCUUGCCAGCAUUUGUUGUGCUUUGUCUUUUUCAUAAUAGCCAUUCUAACAAGUGUGAGAUGAUAUCUCAUUGUGGUUUUGAUUUGCAUUUCCGUGAUGAUUAGUGAUGUUGAAUAUUUUUUCAUAAACUUGGUGAUUUGUAUAUCUUCUUUUGAGAAAUGUCUUUAUUUUUUAAUAGUUUCUUUUGCUGUGCAGAAGCUCUUUCAUUUAAUUAGAUCCCAUUUGUCAAUUUUUGCUUUUGUGGCAAUUGCGUUUGGCAUCUUCACCAUGAACUCUUUGCCCAUCACUAUGUACCGGAUGGUAUUGCCUAGGUUGUCUUCCAGCGUGUUUAUAGUUAUGGGUUUUACAUUUAAGACUUUAGGCCAUCUUGAGUUAAUUUUUGUGUAUGGUGUAAGGGUAGGGUGUUGUCUUUUCACUCUGUUGAUUGCUUUCUUUGAUAUGCGGAAGGUAUUUAGUUUAAUAUAAUCCCAUUUGUCUGUUUUUGUUGCUUGUACUUUUUAAGUGUUAACCGUACAAUCUUGGUUCUCAAGCGUUUCUCCUGUGUUUACUUCUAGUAGUUUUAUAGUUGUGGCUGUUACAUUUAAGUCUUUAAUUGAUUUUGAGUUUAUUUUUGUAAGUGAUGAGAGAUAAGGGUCUAGUUUUAUUCUUCUGUGUUUGGAUAUCUAGUUUUCCUGGCACCAAUAAUAUUUUAANNNNNNNNNNUCCUGGCUAUUGUAAUAGUGCUGCAGUAAAUGUGGGGGUACAGAUAUCCUGUGAUACACUGAUAUCCUUUUUUUGGAUAUAUACCCAGGAGUGGGAUUGCUGGAUCAUAUGGUAGAUCUGUUCUUAGUUUUUUGAGAAAUCUCUGUACUUUUUUUCAUAAUGGCUG